rnacentral:lncRNA from 1 species
GUGAAGGCAGGGCAGGGAAGCCUUCCAGGUUAAAACAUGCACCUGCCCGGCACGCUUCAGCCCAUCGUGCUGUGUUGAUGUCUUCCUUGACUGGAUCACUCCCUGAAAGUGUCAUAUUUACCAGCUGUCUUGUUUGUCACCUACUAGAACAGAAGCCGUAUGAGGGAUCAUGUCCUGUUCAUUACUAUAUCCCCAGCACCUAGAACAACGCCUGCCCCUUGGAAGGUGCUAAGUAUUUUUUGUUUUGUUUUGUUUUGUUUUGUUUUGUUUUAGAUGAAGUUUCACUCUUGUCACCCAGGCUGGAGUGCAAUGGUGCAAUCUCGGCUCACUGCAGCCUCCGCCUCCCGGGUUCAAGCAGUUAUCCUGCCUCAGCCUCCCGAGUAGCUGGGAAUACAAGUGGCCUGCCACCACACCCGUCUAAUUUUUGUAUUUUUGGCCUGCCACCACACCCGUCUAAUUUUUGUNNNNNNNNNNNNNNNCACUGCAACCUCCGCCUCCUGGGUUCAAGCAAUUCUCCUUGCCUCAACCUCCCGAGUAGCUGGGAUUACAAGUGCCCACCACCACGCCCUGCUAAUUUUUGUAUUUUUCUAGUAGAGAUGUAGUUUCACCAUGUUGCCCAGGCUGAUCUUGAACUCUUGACCUCAGGUGAUCAGCCCACCUUGACCUCCCAAAGUGCUGGGAUUACAGGUGUGAGCCACCACGCCCAGCCUGAGUAUGGGCUUUCUUUUCAAAAUAAUGAAAAUAUAAAAUGGCUUGUUGUGAUGGUUGCACAAUUCUUGAAUAUAUUAAAAGCUGUUGAAUGAUACACUUUAAGUAGGCAAAUUGCAUGGCAUGUGAAUUACAUCUCAACAAUGCUGUUAUUAAAAAAAAAAAGAGGCUUGGCACAGCGGCUCACACCUGUAAUCCCAGCACUGGCCGAAGCGGCUCACACCUGUAAUCCCAGCACUGGCCGAAGCGGCUCACACCUGUAAUCCCAGCACUGGCCGAAGCGGCUCACACCUGUAAUCCCAGCACUGGCCGAAGCGGCUCACACCUGUAAUCCCAGCACUGGCCGAAGCGGCUCACACCUGUAAUCCCAGCACUGGCCGAAGCGGGUGGAUCAUGAGGUCAGGAGAUCGACACCAUCCUGGCUAACACGGUGAAAUCCCAUCUCUACUAAAAAUACAAACAAUUAGCCGGGCAUG